ensembl:lncRNA
UGAACACUGAGCAGACAUGGAAGCUGUAGCUGGACUGUUGUUGAUGUUGUUCGGAGUUUCUCGUGCUUCUGUGUCCUCUGUCCUGCUGGUCUCUGAGUGUCUGUCCCAGGGAGAGAUGAGGGUGUCCUGCUCCUCUGAGGGAGGGGACAGUCCUCACUACAGCUGGACUCUGGAUGGACGCACACUGACAGAUGCUGAGAUCCUUUCUGGAAAUAAUGAGAGUAACAUCAUCACACUGAAACAGCACGUGUCAGGAUAUCUGGCCUGCUCAGUCAGCAACAACAUCAGUAAUGUCUUCAAUAAAGAGAGGAUAUCUACUUGUGGCUUUAUUUUCAUUAACUGCACUUCAGUCAGCGGGACACAGAUAUCAGAGUGUGUGCAUAAAACUAAUAACACUGUGUGUACUGAACCAGCGCAAAGUUCUGUGGGCAAUAUGUCAUUGAUUGGUGGUGGUCUCUCAGCUCUGGUAAUUUUCAUAGCUGUGAGUGCAGCGAUCAUCUGCUCAGAGAAAAAGCAAAACGACAAACGCUUAAAACAAAACGAAAAUGGAGAUGGCCAAGAAGUCUAUGCUGAUGUUGGUGUUGUGGCAGGUGAAGCAAAGGGAGAAAAUAGCAGAGCUGGAGUUAAUCAAGUCUUCAAAAUGAACUUGCCAGACUGAAACAAUAGGAGAUGGUUUUGUGUAUGCUAACAUCCAAAAAACGUACGGUAAUUUAAGCGGUCACUACUUUUACAUAGACUGCAUCACUCAAGGUCCAUGGAGGGAGGAGGUGAUGCCAAGAUGCCUAGAGGUCUUUCAGUUAAUGUGAUUUCCCAUCAGACAAAUAUAAACCAUCAAGGAUCACACUUAUUGAUUUAUUAAUUUAUCUUAUUUUCACUGUAUUGUACAAAAUGGUUCUGUUGUUAGGGAACCUCUACAUUUACUGUUACACUACUACUGUGACUGUUUUCCACACUAUUUUUAAAUAAUUACAUUUAAAAUAAUUUAAAUCAUUACAUUUUGUAAAAAGUUCAGUGCAGAAAAACUUUUGGUCAUUGAUGAAAGAUCCGAAUGCCCACAGCUGACUUUUCAGCCACAGAAGAAGAGAACACAUUAUAUUAAAGGUUUGUGGUUGUAUUUUUUCUUUGAUAUCUGCACAAUAAAUUUUACAGUCAAAACAAAAGUAAUUUCCUAACUUAUUUAAGUACGGUUGUGGUGGGCCGUGGUAAGCGGUGUCACUGCAGGGGAGGGAGCACCUGAACAGCAUCCGCAAUCACCCUUCACCAGCUUAAAGUCUGUGUUCUAACUGUUGUCAUUGCUGUUGGUGGUGAUGUGUGUGGCUGGCAGCUGUAGAGCUGCAGCCGUGUGUUUGUGACAGCAACCGUGAGAGAGUAAAAGUGUCAAUAAAGUAUGCUGAAAAGCAUGUUCAUGUAUGAAUCAUCAAAUCUGCUGUGGUAUGUUUACAACAGUUUAGUUCAAAUUUAUGUAACAUUAAUUCAUAACGUAUGUCAUCUCAAGAAACAUUACACAAUAAAACCUGACAGUAUUAUAUAUUUG